rnacentral:rRNA from 1 species
AUUGAACGCUGGCGGCAGGCCUAACACAUGCAAGUCGAACGAGUGGCGGACGGGUGAGUAAUGUCUGGGAAACGGCCUGAUGGAGGGGGAUAGCUACUGGAAACGGUAGCUAAUACCGCAUACCAUCGGAUGUGCCCAGAUGGGAGUAGCUAGUGGGGGGGGUAAAGGCUCACCAAGGCGACGAUCCCUAGCUGGUAUGAGAGGAUGAACAGCCACACUGGAACGGAGACACGGUCCAGACUCCUACGGGAGGCAGCAGUGGGGAAUAUUGCACAAUGGGCGAAAGCCUGAUGCAUCCAUGCCGCGUGUAUGAAGAAGGCCUUCGGGUUGUAAAGUACUUUCAGCGGGGAGGCGUUACCCGCAGAAGAAGCACCGGCUAACUCCGGGCCAGCAGCCGCGGUAAUUC